rnacentral:rRNA from 1 species
GACGAACGCUGGCGGCGUGCCUAAUACAUGCAAGUCGAGCGGAUUGAUGGGAGCUUGCUCCCUGAUAUCAGCGGCGGACGGGGGAGUAACACGUGGGCAACCUGCCUAUAAGACUGGAAUAACUUCGGGAAACCGGAGCUAAUACCGGAUAAUCCCUUUCCUCUCAUGAGGAAAGGCUGAAAGAUGGUUUACGCUAUCACUUAUAGAUGGGCCAGCGGCGCAUUAGCUAGUUGGUGAGGUAACGGCUCACCAAGGCAACGAUGCGUAGCCGACCUGAGAGGGUGAUCGGCCACACUGGGACUGUGACACGGCCCAGACUCCUACGGGAGGCAGCAGUAGGGAAUCUUCCGCAAUGGACGAAAGUCUGACGGAGCAACGCCGCGUGAGUGAUGAAGGUUUUCGGAUCGUAAAACUCUGUUGUCAGGGAAGAACAAGUACGAGAGUAACUGCUCGUACCUUGACGGUACCUAACCAGAAAGCCACGGCUAACUACGUGCCAGCAGCCGCGGUAA